rnacentral:rRNA from 1 species
GACGAACGCUGGCGGCGUGCUUAACACAUGCAAGUCGAGCGGGGCCCAUCUUCGGGUGGUGCCCUAGCGGCGAACGGGUGAGUAACACGUGGGCAACCUGCCCUCAGCUCUGGGAUAACUUCAAGAAAUUGGUGCUAAUACCGGAUGUGACCGCUGACCGCAUGGUCUGGUGGUGGAAAGAUUCAUCGGCUGAGGAUGGGCCCGCGGCCUAUCAGCUUGUUGGUGGGGUAAUGGCCCACCAAGGCGA